UACGGAGGGGGCGAGCGUUAUUCGGAAUUAUUGGGCGUAAAGGGCGCGUAGGCGGCUAGAUGUGUCAAAGGUGAAAUCCCUCGGCUCAACUGAGGAACUGCCUUUGAAACUGUCUGGCUUGAGGCCGGGAGAGGGUAGCGGAAUUCCCAGUGUAGCGGUGAAAUGCGUAGAUAUCAUGAGGAAUACCAGAGGCGAAGGCGGCUACCUGGACAAUUGCUGACGCUCAGGCACGAAAGCGUGGGGAGCGAUCCGG
rnacentral:rRNA from 1 species